UACGUAGGGUGCAAGCGUUAAUCGGAAUUACUGGGCGUAAAGCGUGCGUAGGCGGUUGCGCAAGACAGGUGUGAAAUCCCCGGGCUUAACCUGGGAAUUGCACUUGUGACUGUGCGGCUGGAGUGCGGCAGAGGGGGAUGGAAUUCCGCGUGUAGCAGUGAAAUGCGUAGAUAUGUGGAGGAACACCGAUGGCGAAGGCAGCCCCCUGGGCUGAGAUUGACGCUCAGGCACGAAAGCGUGGGGAGCAAACAGG
rnacentral:rRNA from 1 species